CAGGUGCUGCAUGGCUGUCGUCAGCUCGUGUUGUGAAAUGUUGGGUUAAGUCCCGCAACGAGCGCAACCCUUAUCCUUUGUUGCCAGCGAUUCGGUCGGGAACUCAAAGGAGACUGCCGGUGAUAAACCGGAGGAAGGUGGGGAUGACGUCAAGUCAUCAUGGCCCUUACGAGUAGGGCUACACACGUGCUACAAUGGCGCAUACAAAGAGAAGCGACCUCGCGAGAGCAAGCGGACCUCACAAAGUGCGUCGUAGUCCGGAUCGGAGUCUGCAACUCGACUCCGUGAAGUCGGAAUCGC
rnacentral:rRNA from 1 species